GGGGAAAGCUGGCAGUCACAGGCCUCACCCCUCUCCCACACAGCCCUCAGUCCUAAAGGCUGGUCUCACUCCCAUCCUGCCACGCAACAGCACAGGGUCUAUUUCGAGACAGCCAGUGACCAGGGCUGAGAACUUGCCCCAGACCACCAGCCUCCUCACUGAGAAAGCAAGCAGAAUCACAGUUUUUUGGAAUCUCAGGGAGCCUUCAGCGGCAAUCCAGUUCCUUCAAAGGGUCUGUGGAUUCUCUCAGUUUUCAUGAAACCAGCCAAGGCAAUGUGAAGGAUUCCAAGAGAGGCAAUAUGGAUGAAACCAUUUAUUAGAUUUAUAAGAGCUGAAGGAAAGUGGUAAAGCUAUCCAUCUUCUAUACUUUAUUGAGAACAGGACCAAUGACUCAGACUAUCAGGACAGUAUCUCCAAGACAGAAUUGAAAUCCUAAAGGGUGUCAGCUGUGACCCUCGAAGGAAAGGGAUCACCCUCUUUCUGACCCUAUACCACCUUCAGCAGGGAUGAAGGCAGUCAGAGAAAACUUAGUUAAAAAAUUUCUAAACUGCUUUGCUGAUUUGAUCUGGGGCCCUGGAGUGCCAACAUCCUGUGAUAGCGGCUGAUUGUUGAUGCCUGGGAGGAUACAGCAGUGACGAUCCAAAUUUACAAGACUCAACAUGGUUUUCAAAACUUCCUUUUAAAAAAGAUGUUCCUGAGUUCUGGAAUCUGAACAAAAUAUGUCUGGUUAUUAUAUAAUUCUAAUGGUCCUUGUGGAUGCUACCAUUAGAGUUCAGUUAGUGUCUCAUCUAUCACUGUAAUAUUUGUAUUGUAACACUAAUCGUGGCAAAGUAUGAUUUGAUAAAUGCUCAUUCUCAAAUCUUUUAUUUUAGUGUGUUCAUGUAAGAUUAAUGACCAUGAUGACUUGAGAUAGAAUUUUUUGAUUUGUUGCUUUCUUUGUGUCUUCC
rnacentral:lncRNA from 1 species